rnacentral:rRNA from 1 species
UUUAUGGAGAGUUUGAUCCUGGCUCAGGACGAACGCUGGCGGCGUGCCUAAUACAUGCAAGUCGAGCGAACAGAUAAGGAGCUUGCUCCUUUGACGUUAGCGGCGGACGGGUGAGUAACACGUGGGCAACCUGCCCUAUAGUUGGGGAUAACUCCGGGAAACCGGGGCUAAUACCGAAUAAUACAUUUUAUUUCCUGAUGGAAUGUUGAAAGAUGGCAUCUAGCUAUCGCUAUAGGAUGGGCCCGCGGCGCAUUAGCUAGUUGGUGAGGUAACGGCUCACCAAGGCGACGAUGCGUAGCCGACCUGAGAGGGUGAUCGGCCAC